rnacentral:rRNA from 1 species
UACGAAGGGUGCUAGCGUUGUUCGGAAUCACUGGGCGUAAAGCGCGCGUAGGUGGCUUAGCAAGUCAGAGGUGAAAUCCCAGGGCUUAACCCUGGAAUUGCCUUUGAAACUGCUAAGCUUGAGUACUGGAGGGGAUGGUGGAAUUUCUAAUGUAGCGGUGAAAUGCGUAGAUAUUAGAAGGAACACCGGUGGCGAAGGCGACCAUCUGGACAGUCACUGACACUGAGGCGCGAAAGCGUGGGGAGCAAACAGG